CCCCUCUCAAGGUUGCACCUGAAGAGUUUCCAGUACUCUCCCAGGCUUGACUAUUGGAGGGAGAGUGAAGCGGAGGCCUACCCAUUCCAUUCCUAGCUUGGCCGGUGGCUAGCGGGUGGAAGGCAAUCCGCUACAAGG